GGGAAGUGCAGGGUAGAGGAGGGCGUGGUCCCUGGCUAGGGCUCCACCCCCAUGGACCUUGGUGAGGACAGGCAUUUUUGUUGCAUUUCCCAAGACCACCCUGGCCGACCUUCCACACCCUUAUCCUGGACCUAUAAAAACCCGAGACCCUAGCAGGCAGACACACAAGCCGCUGUACGUGGAGAAAAACAAAUCGAUGAAAGAAGACAAGCGGCUGGACAUCGAGAGACAUCAAGGGGAGCAUGCCGGCAGAAGAGCACUCAGACAGAUGCUGGCAGGCCAUUGACCCGCGGAAGGAGGCGGAGUUUGGACGGGGCAGUCUGAGGAGAGCCUAGGCCGCCAGGUGGCCCAGCUCCACAAGGAAAACCAUCUCCCUUCUGGCUCCCCCGUUUGACGAGAGAGCCUGCAGCUGAGAAGCAAAUCCGCAACUGAUAGACAAAUGG
rnacentral:lncRNA from 10 species